CCCCCCAUUGGAAAAAAUCUUUUUUUUUUAACCCCCCCCCGGGAAAAAUUUUAAAAAAGGUUCCCAAAACCCCUGGGCCAAAACCUUUCUUUUUUAAGGGGCCAGGCAUUUCCGAAAAAUUGGGCCGGAACGGCCCCCAAAUUUUCCCCCUUUCCCCUUUUGGGAAAACCCCCCUGGGUGGUGAGAAUUUUCCCGGACCAAUGAAAAAAGGGCCUUGCUUUUCCGGAAUUAACCCAAAGAGGCCCAAGGUGGCUUUCAAAAGAUUUGGGUGUUUUUCAUUGAAUUUUUUGCAAUUUCACCCUUUAACUUAAUCCCAAUUUCGUUGCUUUUUUUUAAGCGAUGCCAGAGCCCCAAAGUUUCCGUUGUGAAAGUUCUUAUUGUGUUAUUUUAAAAACGAUUUUCCCUUACCCCAUUGUUGGUAAAUAUACCCCGACCUGCGUCACGUAGUAGAACAGUUCAUUGGGUAAGGGCAAAAAGUUAUAAGCCGAUAAAUGCUUUUCACUAUUGUUCCUUUUUCCGGAGGGGGGGACUGCGGAAGGAUCAUUAGUGAUUGCCUUUAUAGGCUUAUAACUAUAUCCACUUACACCUGUGAACUGUUCUACUACUUGACGCAAGUCGAGUAUUUUUACAAACAAUGUGUAAUGAACGUCGUUUUAUUAUAACAAAAUAAAACUUUCAACAACGGAUCUCUUGGCUCUCGCAUCGAUGAAGAACGCAGCGAAUUGCGAUAAGUAAUGUGAAUUGCAGAAUUCAGUGAAUCAUCGAAUCUUUGAACGCAGCUUGCGCUCUCUGGUAUUCCGGAGAGCAUGCCUGUUUCAGUGUCAUGAAAUCUCAACCACUAGGGUUUCCUAAUGGAUUGGAUUUGGGCGUCUGCGAUUUCUGAUCGCUCGCCUUAAAAGAGUUAGCAAGUUUGACAUUAAUGUCUGGUGUAAUAAGUUUCACUGGGUCCAUUGUGUUGAAGCGUGCUUCUAAUCGUCCGCAAGGACAAUUACUUUGACUCUGGCCUGAAAUCAGGUAGGACUACCCGCUGAACUUAAGCAUAUCAAAACCCGGGAAGAAAAAAAUCAUUAGGGAUUGCCUUUAUGGGCUUAUAACUAUAUCCACUUACCCUGUGAACUGUUCUACUACUUGACGCAAGUCGAGUAUUUUUACAAACAAUGUGGUAAUGGAAGGUCGUUUUUAUUAAUAACAAAAAUAAAACUUUCACAACGGAAUCUUUUGGGCUCUCGCAUCGAUUAAAAAAAGGCAACGGAAUUGCGAAUAAGUUAAUGGUGAAAUUGCAGAAAAUUCAUGGAAAUCACCAAAUCUUUGAAACGCAGCUGGCGCUCUCUGGGUAUUUCCGGAAAAGCAAGGCUGGUUUUCAGUGGUCAUGAAAAAUCUCAACCACUAAGGGGUUUUCCUAAAUGGGAAUUGGGAAUUUUGGGGGCGUUCCGGCCAAAUUUUCGGAAUGCCUGCCCCUUAAAAAAGAAUUUUUAGCCAAGGUUUUUGGAACAAUUUAAAAGGGUUCUGGGGUUGGUUAAAAUAAAAGUUUUUUCCAUG
rnacentral:rRNA from 1 species